UACGUAGGGUGCAGGCGUUAAUCGGAAUUACUGGGCGUAAAGCGUGCGCAGGCGGUUUCUUAAGUCAGAUGUGAAAGCCCCGGGCUUAACCUGGGAACUGCGUUUGAAACUGGGAGACUUGAGUGUGGCAGAGGGGGGUGGAAUUCCACGUGUAGCAGUGAAAUGCGUAGAUAUGUGGAGGAACACCGAUGGCGAAGGCAGCCCCCUGGGUUAACACUGACGCUGAGGAGCGAAAGCCAGGGGAGCAAACGGG
rnacentral:rRNA from 1 species